GACGAACGCUGGCGGCGUGCUUAACACAUGCAAGUCGAACGGAAAGGCCCUGCUUUUGUGGGGCGCUCGAGUGGAGCACGGGUGUGAAACACGUGUGUACCCUGCCCUUGAUUUUGGGAUGACUUGAGGACACUGGGGAAUAUACCGGAUAGGCGCUCCGGCUGCAUGGUGGGGGUUGGAAAGUUUCGGCGGAUGGGGAUGGACUCGCGGCUUAUCAGCUUGUUGGUGGGGUUGUGGUUUAAAAAGGCUGUGGCGGGUAGCCGGCCAGAGGUGGUGACCGGCCACAUUGGGACGGAGAUACCGCCCAGACUCCGGCGGGAGGCAGCAGUGGAGAUUAUUGCACAAGGGGCGGAAGCCUGAUGCAGCAACGCCGCGUGGGGGAUGACGUCCUGCUUGUAGUAACCCGUUUGCGCCGGUGACGAAGUGUUAGUGACGGUAGUGGUAAAAGAAGCACCGGCUAACUACGUG
rnacentral:rRNA from 1 species